AUUGAACGCUGGCGGCAUGCUUUACACAUGCAAGUCGAACGGCAGCGCGGGCUUCGGCCUGGCGGCGAGUGGCGAACGGGUGAGUAAUGCAUCGGAACGUGCCCAGUAGUGGGGGAUAGCCCGGCGAAAGCCGGAUUAAUACCGCAUACGACCUGAGGGUGAAAGCGGGGGACCGAAAGGCCUCGCGCUAUUGGAGCGGCCGAUGUCGGAUUAGCUAGUUGGUGGGGUAAAGGCUUACCAAGGCGACGAUCCGUAGCUGGUCUGAGAGGACGACCAGCCACACUGGGACUGAGACACGGCCCAGACUCCUACGGGAGGCAGCAGUGGGGAAUUGUGGACGAUGGGGGCAACCCUGAUCCAGCCAUGCCGCGUGCGGGAAGAAGGCCUUCGGGUUGUAAACCGCUUUUGUUCGGGAAGAAAUCCUCUGGGCUAAUACCCCGGGGGGAUGACGGUACCGGAAGAAUAAGCACCGGCUAACUACGUG
rnacentral:rRNA from 1 species